UUUCUCCUACGGGGCGCAGCAGUGGGGAAUAUUGCACAAUGGGCGAAAGCCUGAUGCAGCAACGCCGCGUGAAGGAAGACGGUUUUCGGAUUGUAAACUUCUAUCAAUAGGGAAGAAAGAAAUGACGGUACCUAAAUAAGAAGCCCCGGCUAACUACGUGCCAGCAGCAGCGGUAAUACGUAGGGGGCAAGCGUUAUCCGGAAUUACUGGGUGUAAAGGGAGAGUAGGCGGCAAGGUAAGCGAUAUGUGGAAGCGUUAGACU
rnacentral:rRNA from 1 species